rnacentral:rRNA from 1 species
AUGGAAGGUUCGCAGAGUUCAAUAGCGAGGGUGCCGGCGAGGUGCACAGCAGAGACACAGACGUCGCGGGCCACGGUUGCGUUCGAGAUCGCUGGCUACAGCCUGCACAAGGGCCUCGGUAGAGGCAAAUACCUCCGUUCUCCGGCAUUCUCCAUCGGCGGCUACGAAUGGUGCAUCCGCUACUACCCCGACGGAAGCCCAGACGAGGCGAGCGAAGGUUACGUCUCUGUCUUCCUCAAGCUCUUGACCAAGAACGCCGAGGUGAGGGCGACCUACAAUUUGAUGCUCGUGGAGCCGGUUAAGGGGCAGUCGACUGUGGUGCUCUCCUCCGAAGAGCCACAAGUGUUCGACCGCGAAAGGCCAUCCUGGGGCUUGCGGAGGUUCAUGAAGACCACUGCUGAAGGGAAGAAAGGAGCAGACGUGACAUUCAAGGUCCAAGGGGAGGUAUUUUCUGCUCAUAAGAUUUUGCUUGCGAUGCGAUCGCCGGUCGUCGAAGCAGAGUUCUAUGGGCCGCUGGGGAACAAGGGGGCGCAGAACGGGCAUGAUUGGCUGGCAGACAAAAAUUGGCAAGCCAACAUUUGGCAUUUCCAACAAGUGACAGCUCUAAAACUUGCCAAAAUUUUGCUAGUUUUAAGAGGUUGGCUAGGUGCCAACCAAUUGCUAGACAAAAUUUUGGUUUGCUUACCUAUUGGCAAGCCAAAUUUUGGCAGCAAACCAAGCAGCCCUGACAUAACAAUUGAUGACAUGCAGCCUGCUGUUUUCAGGGCAUUUCUUCACUUCAUCUACACAGAUUCAAUGCCUCCCAUGAGAGAUCUUGAGGAGGAUGACAAAAUAGAAAUGGUUAAGCACUUACUCGUGGCUGCAGAUAAGUAUGGGAUGGAAAGGAUGAAGAGGAUAUGUGAAGGCAUGCUAUGCAAGAGUCUUGAUGUUCAGACUGUGGCUGCCAUAUUAGCUCUAGCUGACCAGCAUCAUUGCAGCAACCUCAAAGAUGCUUGCAUCGAAUUUAUGCUCUCUUCGAAUAGAAUGAAUGAUGUGAUGGCAAGCCAAGGGUAUGCACACCUCAAAAGAUAUUCUCCUGAUGUCAUUGUAGAUGUGUUUGAGAGAGCAGCUAGGUCCUGCAAAAUUUAG